rnacentral:rRNA from 1 species
CGAAAGGCGUAGUCGAUGGAAAACAGGUUAAUAUUCCUGUACCACCUAUUGUGAGUGAUGGGGUGACGGAGAAGGAUAGAUCGGCCAAGUGUCGGAUUACUUGGUUCAAGCAUGUAGAAGUAAGGAAUAGGCAAAUCCGUUCCUUUUUAACUUCGAGACGUGAGUUACGAGAGACCUAGUCUCAUAAAGUGAUUGAUUCCAUGCUUCCUAGAAAAACCUCUAAAUGUUGAACAAUAGGUGCUCGUACUGUAAACGGACACACGUACGCGGGUAGAGUAUACCAAGGUGUUUGAGAUAAUUAUGGCUAAGGAACUCGGCAAAAUAGCUCCGUAACUUCGGAAGAAGGAGUGCCUAUAUUAGGUGAAAGCUCUUGCAGCUGGAGCCGAAAUAGGUGGCACUGAAAUGGUGGAAGCGACUGUUUACCAAAAACACAGGCCUGUGCUAACCCGCAAGGGGAUGUAUACGGGCUGACGCCUGCCCGGUGCUGGACGGUUAAGGGGAUGGGUUAUCCUUCGGGAGAAGCUUAGAACCGAAGCCCCAGUAAACGGCGGCCGUAACUAUAACGGUCCUAAGGUAGCGAAAUUCCUUGUCGUCUAAUUAGCGACCCGCAUGAAUGGCGUAACGACUUCUAUGCUGUCUCGGCCAUAAUCUCAGCGAAAUUGUAGUGCUGGUGAAGAUGCCAGCUUCCCGUUGUGGGACGGAAAGACCCCGUGCACCUUUACUAUAACCUAGCACUGGAUUUUGAUGAUAAAUGCGUAGGAUAGGUGGGAGACUUUGAAGAUUCGAUUUCGGUUGGAUCUGAGUCGUUGGUGAAAUACCACCCUUUUACUGUUAGGAUCCUAACUGUAAUCCGUUAUCCGGAUUAAGGACAAUGUUAGGCGGGUAGUUUGACUGGGGCGGUUGACUCCUAAAGAGUAACGGAGUCGCUCAAAGGUUCUCUCAGCCUGAUUGGAAACCAGGCGUCGAGUGUAAUGGCACAAGAGAGCUUGACUGUGAGAUCGACAGAUCGAGCAGGUACGAAAGUAGGACAUAGUGACCCGGUGCCUCCAUGUGGGAGGGGCAUCGAUCAUCGGAUAAAAGGUACGCCGGGGAUAACAGAUUAAUCGCGCCCAAGAGUUCACAUCGACGGCGCGGAUUGAUACCUCGAUGUCGGCUCAUCGCAUCCUGGGGCUGAAGAAGGUCCCAAGGGUUAGGCUGUUCGCCUAUUAAAGCGGUACGCGAGCUGGGUUCAGAACGUCGUGAGACAGUUCG